UACAGAGGGUGCGAGCGUUAAUCAGAAUUACUGGGCGUAAAGCGUGCGUAGACGGUAGCGUAAGUCAGAUGUGAAAGCCCCGGGCUCAACCUGGGAACUGCAUUUGAGACUGCUCUGCUCGGGUGCGGAAGAGGGAAGCGGAAUUUCCGGUGUAGCGGUGAAAUGCGUAGAUAUCGGAAGGAACACCAGUGGCGAAAGCGGCUUCCUGGUCCGACACCGACGUUCAGGCACGAAAGCGUGGGGAGCAAACAGG
rnacentral:rRNA from 1 species